AUGUCUGUUUUGUUUUCUCUCUAUAGCCAUAAAUAUCAAAUAUUACACAUGGAGCUAUCUAGACCUUGUUUGUUCUUUUAUCUGUUGGCCAUUUUGCUGUCACUGAGCAUCUCUUUGACCACAAACUCAGACCCCACCAAUGCAGAAACACUUCAGUGGAAGGGUGGAGAUGGUGUGAAAAGGUCACGAGUGAGAAGGCAGAACUUACACCUAAAACAUGCAUUACAUUUACCAGAAAAGGCUUAUACUUUCUAUAUGUUAUGGAGAAUUCUGAACGAAAUUUACAAUGAUACAGACACCAUCAAACCAUUAAUGACGAGGCCAGACAAACUGGAAUUUACAACACCAGAAGGGCCAAAGAACAUGGAGAUCGAGGUGAAACCAUCUUCACCUCGCAUACAGGAACAAAGCACUCAUUCCACUGGUAUGACUGGUACAAAUAACCCUACAGCUAUGCCGUCCUUCCCUACUCACUCAUUACCAGACUCACAGAAAACAACUCGAUUAGAAGAUUUACAACUAGUUGGACAAUCAACUCAGCGACUCCAGACCACAAUACAGAAAAUUACAGAAUUCAAUCAAGCUAUAGAGCAACAUAUCCCUGAUUCCACCACAUUUAAAAUUCCCACCACUGCAUCAGAAGAACCUUCUACAAUUGCCAUACAUGAACAAAUCGACCACUUCUCUGGCAUUAAUAGUAUUAAUAACUCCAAUGCUAAGUCUUCGUUCACCACUCACUCAUCAUUACCAGACGCACAGAAAACAUCAGAAUCAGGAGAUUCACAACUAGCUGAAGAAUCAACUCAACGACUCCAGACCACAAUACAGAAAAUUACAGAACCCAGUGAAGUUACAGAGCAACACAUCCCUGAUUCCACAACAUUCACUAUCAAAAACUUCUCCAAAGCAGCAGAAGAACCUUCUUCAAUUGCCAUACACGAACAAAUCGACCACUUCUCUGGCAUUAAUAGUAUAAAUAACUCCACUGCUAAGUCUUCGUUCACCACUCACUCAUCAUUACCAGAUGCACAGAAAACAUCAGAAUCAGCAGAUUCACAACUAGCUGAAGAAUCAACUCAACGACUCCAGACCACAAUACAGAAUAUUCCUUCCAUACAUGAACAAAUCGACCACUUCACUGGUAGUAAUGGUACAAAUAACUCUACAGCUAUGGUGUCUCUCCCCACUCAAUCAUCAUUUCCAGACUCACAGAAAACAACUCAAUCAUGA
ensembl:lncRNA